rnacentral:rRNA from 1 species
AUUGAACGCUGGCGGCAUGCUUUACACAUGCAAGUCGAACGGUAACAGGCCUUCGGGUGCUGACGAGUGGCGUACGGGGGAGUAAUGCAUCGGAACGUACCCAGAGGUGGGGGAUAACGCAGCGAAAGCUGUGCUAAUACCGCAUGUGCUCUGAGGAUGAAAGCGGGGGACCGAGCAGCAAUGUUUGGCCUCGCGCCUUUGGAGCGGCCGAUGUCGGAUUAGCUAGUUGGUGGGGUAAAGGCCUACCAAGGCGACGAUCCGUAGCUGGUCUGAGAGGACGACCCGCUAGCCUGUCACUGAGACACGGCCCAGACUCUUACGGUGGGCCGCGGUGGGGACUUUUGGACAAUGGGCGCGUGCCUGAUCCAGCAAUGCCGCGGGCGGGAAGAAGGCCUUCGGGUUGUAGACCGCUUUUGGCAGGAACGUAGCGGUGUCCGCUUAUCCCGGGCGAUAAUGACGGUACCUGCAGAAUAAGCACCGGCUAACUACGUG